GAUGAAGAACGCAGCGAAAUGCGAUAAGUAAUGUGAAUUGCAGAAUUCAGUGAAUCAUCGAAUCUUUGAACGCACAUUGCGCCGCCAGUAUUCUGGCGGGCAUGCCUGUCUGAGCGUCAUUUCAACCAUCAUGCCCCUAGGGCGUGGUGUUGGGGAUCGGCCAAAGCCCGCGAGGGACGGCCGGCCCCUAAAUCUAGUGGCGGACCCGUCGUGGCCUCCUCUGCGAAGUAGUGAUAUUCCGCAUCGGAGAGCGAUGAGCCCCUGCCGUUAAACCCCCAACUUUCCAAGGUUGACCUCAGAUCAGGUAGGAAUACCCGCUGAACUUAAGCAUAUCAUAAGCGGAGGA
rnacentral:misc_RNA from 1 species